rnacentral:lncRNA from 1 species
UUUUUUUUGUGUGCAGAAUUUGGUGUUGAUAGGAAUUAGAUAAGUUCUCGUUUGGAUAUAUUCUUUUAUGUCUACACUGAAAUGAUUUGAAAGCUUGAUCUAUGCUGUAGACACUUUCCUAUUGUUGAAGACAGUAUGUUGACCUGUAAAUGUCUUUUUGUAUUUAUGUCAAAGGGUUGAUGUCUCAUUGACGUAUAUCCACAUCCUAUUUUA